UAGCGGCUGUGACUCAGGCAGAUAGAUAAGGGUAGAGACGGAGCCAAGAUGUCGUGGGGAGAGCGAUAAGGGAAACCGGGCCUCAGCACCUGGUCUAGAUAUCUUCAGCUUCCCCGCGUAUUGACAAGAGAUCUGGUACUUUCUUUUUGGCCUAAAUCAGCCAUCGUCUUUUUGGAUGAGGAAAUGACAGCAAGGAACGAAAGGCGACCAAGAUAUUCUGGAUGACGCACGAUAUUCUACAUAUUUUGAUGGAAGAACGGAGGAAGUCGAAACACAAGAAUGCAUUCAGAUAAAGGGAAAUAACCAGAGAAGUAAAGAGAAGGAUUUCUGCAGCAAAGGAACGAUGGAUAAAGAACAGUGUGAUACUAUAGAAGGAUUGACAAAUAGAUAAGCUCAGAUGAAGGAGUAAAAGGAACACCUGAAAAAGAAAGUUACGAAAAGGAGAUGCAAUAACGAAGAAAGGCGGGAUGGCAAUAGAAAAGCUUGAAGUACUUGACGAAUGGAAGAAGGAAAUUCAAGAAUUGUUUUGGGGAUGACAGACCAGGGCAGUUUUUACAUGAAAAAAAUAAAAAAAUAAAUCCAUGACUCUU